GAAUGACAUCAAAAGCCUUCCUAACUCACCCCCCGGGUCAUCUGAUUAUAGGCAUGGCACAGAGCCAUGCUGCCCCAGAAGACUGUGAGUCACGACGACAUCCAUGACUAUCCUCUUAUUCCAUGGAAGGAAGUAAUGUGCCUUGACCAUGAAACAACCAGGAGUAGAUUACAUCUUUCCCCGUGUCAGCUUAGCCCUGCUGGCUGUUGGGGCAGGCACUGGGGAGGCAAGAGCAGCCUCUCAUUUCCCAGCCUUGCUCCUUCCCACCCCUACCUCAGGGAAGCCAUUCCUCCCCAUGCUGGGACAUGCCGUGUGGGCAAACCACAUGAGAGGGUUUUGCUCAGCCAGGCAAGGAAGACGAUGCUCCGGCUCUCUUCUCCAGUGUGGUGCAGUUACAUCACAUGGUGAAACAUCCGUCUCUCCUCCAACAGGCCAGGCAUAUCUGAUCAUGAGGAUGCUGUGUGUUCUCCAUUCCUUGGCAUUUGUCCUUGUAAUUAGUCUAUCUGUUUCUGAUUUACUUAUUUUCAGGCAGUCUUCUGCACCCUUGCUCCCUCGUUUGGGCACAUGGGGCAAACCACAGACUUGCCCUUAAACUACACAGAAAAAUAAAAUCAGAAACAGACUAACCACAAGAAUCAAUAGCAAGGGGCAGAAGGCACACAAUUGGAUACUGGAGCUUCCUUCAGAGAUCCAUCUGCCUCUAAAUGUGAUGUAACUAGGCUCACAUACCACAUCUGCAAAAGGGGGUAACAGAUUCCUCUGCGUAACCUGACUGGCAGGGUAAAACUAUGCUGGCUCAGAGAAGCCAAGGCAUGUUUAAAAAUCAUUUCUAAGGAAGAAAAAGAAGUCCAUUUUGUGCUCACAGAGCUAAAGCAAUCCCUUUCAAGUCUGACGUGAUUCCUGUUAGUGUUAUUGUUGCUUCCUAGAAUUUAGGCUUGAAUUUGGCAGAAGUCAAGAAGCCAAGGCAUACACAGAACCAUUUGUGAGAAUCAGUGUGCCUGUGUGCAUGGGCCAAUUCUUUCCUGAAUAAACACCAGUCACUGGGCUGCUGGGUAAAGUGGCGAUAUAUGAUGGCAGUCAGACGUGUAGGCUCACACCCAUGAGGAAAGGCUAUUUAAGGCAAGUUACCUUUUUCCCUACAAAUAAACACAACCAGAUAAUAAACCACACCUCUCAGUGCCAAUAAAAUAUAUGUGUUAUAUUCCAUAACUGUUCCUUGUUUGUCUCCCGAAAGUAACAUCAUUGCCUGGGAGGUAGUAUCAAGCCAUUAAUCAAAAAUAAAUGAGCAGUACAGGAAAUGAAGGAUAUUUAUGAGUAUAAAUAUCUUCCUGUGUACCCAGAAUACAGGAGCUGCCUGAAAACAUUGUGAUUAGAGUCAAUACACUUGAUCCAGCCACACAGACAGUGAGCACAGCUGUCAUUCCUAUUCUGAACAUCUCAUUUGAUACCCUGGGGUUCUGCAGCCCUUCAUCAGGUGAGCGAUGUGAGGUUGUUGUUCAUGUGAUAGAUCAGACAGUAGAGAAACACUCCAGACAGAAACCUCUGCUUGUUUCUUACUAGGAAGAAUAAAUCUUUCCUUCUUUUGGAAUCCACAGAAAUACAGAUCUAAAAGCAGGACAUGGAUAAAUGAGAGAAGAUAAGAUAUUGCUCCUGCGAGCAGAACAUCCUGUCUUCAAAAUGGAUUUAACUCCUAAAAGCUCCAUGGGGUCCUUUCUACACCGAGGAUAUUCACUAAGGAUUUCCCACUGUGGUGAACACUUCUUCAGCUCCACCAGUAUGGCACAGCAGAGAACUCCCACUCAUGCUUUUGAUCCUUUAGUCUAUUACAAUGUCUUCCAACUUCGCUAAUGUCAGUGGAGCAGAGCCAACAGUGAGGCAUUUUUAGAAAGCUUCUUUUACAGGGACAAAGUUUUCAUCUCCUUUGCCAAGUCCAGGGUGUCCUACCUUGAAUCCCCUUCUCUCUGUUGUCUGGCUGUUCUUUUAAGAGCCCCUCUGUCCUCUUCACAUCAUCAGCACUGUAUGUGCCCAUCAUGGUUUGUAACGGUACAUACUCCUGCCUUUCAGUGGCUGUCUCUUCAGGAAUAGAAAUCCUUGUCACAACCAGUACAAAUGAUUCACCAUUACUAUCAGUCUGCUGACAACAGCCAUUCUUGGAAAAUGGUUACAUGAAUUUCUGGAAUCCCUAAAAAUAAACAAAUUUGGCUCCAUUAACAGGAAUGGUAAAUUCAGACUGCAAACCCACUUGACUACGCCAAUGCAUUUAAUUAAAUUGUUUUGCUAUUACGCUGAUAAGCAGAGAUAUGACUGUUGCUAGUAGAUGUAAUAGUUUCUAUUCUUGUUGCCUCCUAGCACCUUAAUUAAAUUACAAUUGUUCUGUUGGAAAACAUGGCUGUGAACACCUCUAGGUAGACAACACAGGAAAAUAUUCCUAGCAAUAUAAAAAUCAGGAAUGUGAUAUUGCAUGGUAGACAGGAUAAAAAGGAACUGGGUUAAGAUUGCAGUAGGGAAGAUUCAGAUUUGCUUUAAGAAAAACCUAAUUGUGAAUCAUUGGAAUAUAUAAUCUGGAUUUUCCCAUACUGAAUUAUCUUCUAGUACAGGUUAAAUGAACAGCUGACAGGAACGACACAGGCAUAAGUGAUCCUGCUUUGUUACACACCGAUAAUUGAGGUUGAGGACCCUUUCAUCUUUUUUUUUGUAUGGUUGUACUUUGCUUUAAAUUUCUAAAAAAUGAAGUAAAUUCCUGCUCUCAUUUACAUGCAUCUGAGCCUCUUAUAUUCUAUAAAGUCUGUAAAUUUACAAAUGAGAUCAGAAUUUGGCUUCCUAUAAAAACACAUUGUAACAUGCCAGCAAUUGCUCCAUAACAACGAAAAGAGCAAAGUACCUUGUUAUAUAGGUCUUGUCGCUCAACCAAUACAUACAAGGCAAAAUAAUCACUGCUUUUAUAGCAAGACCUCAUCCAAGUGCAUGUGUAAGACCUUCCCGUAUAGCUGAGUAAAGUAACACCUCCACACAUUUCCACCUAGAGAAGAGGUACCUUUGGAGGCUGAAUGAAAUCAAACAGAAAUAUAACCUGCAAAUUUACAGUGUGCAACCAAGCAUUGGUUGUAGUCCAGGCAAACAUGAACUUCAAAGACCUUUUAUGUUUGCAUGGUUCUUUGGCAGUUAGGUAUUUUCUUCCUUCAUUGUUUAUUACGGUGCUCUGGAUAGAGAUUAAAUUUAAUAGCUCAGUAUUUUUUUCUUUUCCACUUAUCUUGAAAUAAGAUUUGCACACAUAUUUGUAACUAGAUUAAAAACUGUCAAGUGGCUUUUUAAACAAUUCUUGGUGCUUGCAGAAGAGUUGAUCAUGGCCUCUUACAUACAAGUACUUCCCUGGACCCACUGAUCCCAUCCCACAUGAAUAAAGCUUUACCCUCUUUGUCCAGAAUUAGAAAGGCACUUCUGCUUAAAGUAUGCCAGGACACAAAAUCCGCAUAGUAUUCCACUAGCAAAUUCUGCAAUAAGACUAAAUUUAAAGCCUAUUUAGGUCAGUUAAAGGCUUGCCAUAAACUCAGUGAGGUUCGGGAGAGGCCCUUAACCUACAGGUCUUAAGGACAGGAAAGCCUCCAUAUACAUGAUAGUUCUUUGGGACAUCACUGAGGUCAGCAGAGGCUGAUUGACUUCAGCAGAUCACUGAGGUCAGCAGAUGCUCAGUGUGACAAGAAUUUUAUGCUGAUCCAAAGCUAUCAGAGAAAUAAGAAGAUGGGAAGACUGAAGAGAGUGAGUCCUCCCCACAUGUCAUUCACCUGCAGGCUGUCAGUGCUGUGGUGACCAGAAAAUCCAACCAGGCAUCCCUACUCAUCCAUGCUGUGCUUUGGAAUUGACUAAAGAGGUCAGCACUCCCACAUUGUGUAGAAAUGAUUACAUGAUGUGGGUUUUAUUUUUAAAAUAAAUUGAAGAUUCCAUACCCUAAUUCACACAAAAGCUAACAAAAUAUGGUGUUAUUUUAAUGAUGUACAAAUCAAUAUUAUAAAAAUAGGUAAAUAUUUCCCUUGGCAAGAAAAUAUCAAAUAUCUCAUCCUUGUAACAUGCAAGUUUUAUAUUUACACAGUGUAAAGCGUCCCACGUUACCAUAACGUGUUAGUAGCAUGAAAUUUUUUUAUCUGCCAUGUCUUAAACAAAGCCUGAGUUACUGUCUGCAGUGCCCUUAAGCUAUAUGCCAUAGUCUUCACCAGAUUGAAACAAAACACAUAGAGCAGCUAGCAGUAACCACAUUAAGGUUUAAUGCUUAUAAACACAGAAGGUUUAACACUUGGCAAGCCAGAAUUCCCCUAUGACCUGAAGACAUGCAGAUCAUGACCUGAGAAUUAAGUGCUGUGUUAAGCAGUCAAGCUGUCUCCCUGAAGAAAAGACAAAAAUAGCCAAAGACUAGCUGAGCCAUUGGGUUGGCAUAUGUCAGCUGCGACCAGGCCCAAUUCAGAGUCGAUCUGUAGCUAUGUGGGGCCAAGUCUGACCUAGUCCAGCCUUUCCAGGAAGGGCUUCCUAAGUAGAAGGAUUUUCAGAGGCACUCAACACCCGUUGUCCCCACUGACCCCCAGGGAAGAGGAACACUAAGCUAUCAUGCAACCAAGUCUCAACGGAAAGCUUCCGGUAUUAACUGGAGGGGGAGAGACAAAGUGAAAUUACUUUCCCCUCUGUAUUCCUAACCAUGAAGAUGCCCUCUUGCCUGCCCUGCCUCCUUCCAAGGGCUUCUUCUAAAAGCAAGUGCCACAGUCUUGAAAAGCCUGGGGAUAGAGGGGGAAAGAGAGGAAAGAGGGAAAAUUUAAGUGUGAAACAAAGGGUUUGAACUAAAUAUUUAAAGACAGAUAGCUCAGUCUUCGUAUCAAAAAAAAGGUCUUUGUUUUAAAAAAGUGCAAGGCAGAGAAGUUGAUUUGGGAAAGAUGAAGGUCAGCAAAACAACAGGUCCAAACAUUAGAGAUGAAGAGAAGGAAUGCAGCAAGAAGAGGGGAGUGUUGAACAGCUGCCUGGGGGAUCUUAAAAAGGAUGCUCAGCAUGCUCAAAAUACUCUAAUUUUGCCAUAGUACAUCUGCUUGUGCCAGAUUCCCACACAGAAAAAUCUCAGUGACAUGAGACUGACCUGGCUAUCAUGGUUUUAUUUCUCUUGCUUUUUUCACUGCAAACUGUGUUUAGCUUGUAAAUACACAAGUUUUCUAUUCUCAAGUAUUUAUUGCAUUCUUCACAAAUUAGUUUUGGGAGUUGGUCAAUAUGAAGCUCAUCCAUGAAGUUACUAUACAAUUCCUGUUGGAUUAAAGUUGGACAUUUCUCUGUUUGUUGGUAAAUUGCCAAAUGCUGUUACAAGUAACACUUAAUUGUAAUAAAAUUUUAUUCAGGGUCCAAAGGUGCUCAUUAAAGAGAGAUGUGUACAUAUAUAUAUAUAUAUAUAUAUAUAUACACACACACAUUAGUUAAGGCAACAAAAGAAUCCCAUGCUGCAUAAGGCCUACCCAAAAGGCAAAAUUUCCAAUCUGGAGGGAAUCCUGUUAUUUCAACUUUCAUUUCUAUUCUAAAACAGGCCAAGAAAUCAAAAUAUCAAUGAAAUAAAUUGGUGGAACUCAAAUAUCAGUAUAAUUUAGGUUUGAAAAUGUCAGUAGACAAAAUACUGAUGUUUCCAAUUGAAAAUGUAAUGGUCCCAGGCUGAAAAGUCCUGGAAUCCUCUUCUCACAUGGAUAGAAAUCGACAAUAUUCUUCUAGAAAUCCAUGAAGUUACAUUGGUGGAAGCCUUCACAUGGGUCAUAAAAAAUACUUAGAAUUACAAGCAUUUGAUAAAGCCAAGUGCUUUGGAAAGCUUUACACUUUCAACCUUCAGGGCAUAAAGCAACCUAGGAAUUGGGAGGAAAACUUCAUGGCUCAUUCCCAUGGCUGCUAUGGUGGAGGCCAGGGAGUCACACUGCCCCACCAGGGAGGUGGAGAGCACGGCUGGUGGCUGCUCAGUCUGAAUGCAAGAACAUCUAUAUUCUCUUUGUUUAGCAAAUCCUGGGGCUAGUGCAUAUGACUUGUGAAUGGCAGGGUCCAAACUGUCUGCUGGGCUUCCCAGCUGACUCAGGGAGGAGGCAGUAGCCUGCUCUGCAGUGGGAAACACUGGCUGUCAGAGGCAGCCAGGCAAGCUCUGGCAACAUGCUCCCGAGGAAAGUGGAGACAAACUGUCUGCCCAGCACUCUGAAUGCAGAAGUCUUGGACCCAUGAGCAAAGAAACUCUCUUCAGAUGCUUGACUCCUCUCCAGGGUUCAGGAAAUUAGAAUUUAGAUAUAUUCAUUGUGAGGGAUACAAGGUGUCACUGAAGAAACCUGCUCUUCUGCUAUCAACUGCUCCUUUUAGUGAAGACAACUCAAAACAACUCCUCCUGUUUGGGUCUUUACUGUGUGGGUUUUUUUGAACAAGAUUCUUUCAAAAGGCCAUAGCCUUCAGAUCACAAGUUAAUCUUUAGCCAGCUGCUUAAUUUUUCUUAAAAACCUGGUACUGACCAUUACUGGGAGGUGUCACUUUGGGGAAAAAAACACGGACAUUCCCACGCAAAGCUCAUUUUGCAGAGGACCUGGAGACAACUUAAGCUCUGCAUGACACAGACAUCAGCAAAAUUCCCAGCUGACUUCUGAUAAAAAAAAAAAACCAGAAAUGGAAGCUGAGUGCUGCCAUCUCUUCUAAGAGUGGGCCAAAGUGUGUAAGGACAUUUCCACCACCUUCUCUGAAGGUGGUCCCCACAUCUGGAGCAGUAGAAUUACAGUGAUGGGAAGCUGUGGUCUGGUUACCAUCAGGCUUCGAAUCUAGCAUGCAAUAAAUACUAUAAACCUCAUAGAGUUCAGACCUGAGCAUCCAAAUUCUGUACAUUCGUUUGUCCCAAAUCUAGUGAGUUUAAUCUCUGAACAUGACUACAGUUUGUGUUUGUAGAAACUGGUUAGGAAAAGAAACAAGAGUGACAUCUGCGGGCACUUACUUAUGGUUCAGCAUUUUUAAAAGUUUGAGAUCACACAAUUUGAUAGUAUGUCAUGCAGUAAUGCUCUAAGGAUUAGACCACAAGGCAAAAAAAAAGACUUAAGGAAAUUAAUGGCUCAACUUUAAACUUAGGAAUUUUUAGAGGUAUUUAAAAAAAUUAAAACCCCAUUGCAAAAGAAGAAAAAUUGUUUUUUCCAGAGAAACUAAGGUCACAGUCCAAGAAAGAAUUCAGAAUACACUGAACCAAGAGUUUUCUUGAUAACUUCAGAACUAAGUUGAAAAAAAGCAUGUUGAUUUGUCCCCAGUUAUUUAUAUUUAGUUAGGGGUAAAUAAUUUCAAAGACAAAUUCAGUCACCAUCUGAGUGAGACAAUUCAAAGGAAGGGUCUGUCAAAAAGCAUCCUGUAGAGUGACCUGCAUUGUUCAUUUCUGACUCAUUCCCCGAUUCCACCCCAGCAGUCAACCUCCCAACAAACUCCAUCCUACAGUCUUCUCUAGCCUCCACAGUGAUUUCAUAGAGUUAGUCAUAAUGGAAGUGCAACAAGACUGAACUUCAAGUCAUUGAACCCUCACACAAAAUACGGACAGCUUUUUCCACAUAAUUCUACCAAAAUUUUCCAAGUCUCAGGCUAGGGUCUUGGCCAUCAGAUUGUCUGCCCAGCACUAAGAAACAGCAUCCAUUUCAGAAUUAUUGAGAAAGUUGGAAAAUCUGGAAUGAAUGAAAUAACUUGUGAUCAGGACAAAAAGGAAAAAAACCCUCAACUUCAGAAAUCAGCUGAAUUGAGCCAAAAUUCAAGGCAACUGUAUUUACGGGGGAAAAAAGGAAAGCCUGAUCUAAUCUCUCACCCAAAACCCAACCACAGUGUCUGAAUUCAACAGGGUCAGGUUAUUUUCUCAUAGUAUCACAACCACAACUAGAAAUAGUCAAAAGAAGCAACUGUCCAAAGAAGCCACACAUUUCAUUAAGUUUCCAAUACAUCUCUCUGAUCAAAGUGACAGUUACACUUCAGUAAAGUCUUUUGAUCUUGUUGAUGCUCAGCUGAAUGGAAUCAUCACGUCCUCAGAGCUGUGCACAAUGAGAACAUAAAUUAUGACUGCUAGUCGCUGAAAAGAUUGCUUGCUAUUUUUAUUCUGGUAGUUUUUUUCUUUAAGAGAAAAGCUGAAUUCUCUCUGUCAAAACCAACAGAAGGGUUGUUUAAAGGUAUGGCAAGAUGCACAUUCAUUUAAUGGAAUACAUACAAGAGUCUUUAUAAUAACUUGAUGAGUUCCAGAAGUGGACUGAAUACUAUUGAGCAAAGUCAAUCGUGCUGGUGAUACAUUAUACCAAAAAUGCAGAACUGCUUCAGAGGUAGAUUUCAAGAAUUAAAAAAAAAAUCUCACCAAAAACACAAGGGAAGGGAAAAAUACGAGGUGUGCAUGGAGCAAAUGGAGAUAGCAUUAGAGAAUGAAUGCAACACAAACCAGCUAAUGGUUUAGGAAAAAUUGGGAAAAAUUGCAAUUAGUCUUGCGCUGAAGUCUCUCAGCCAGCGGUUCCUGAGCUGUGAUGUACAAACCACCCCUGGCCAACAAAUCUUUGGUGGCUGACCACUGCCAACUGCCUGAGCAUUGUCUUUCUUGUCCCAGAUGUUACAUAACACUGAAGAUGCUGCUAAUGGGUGUCAGACUAAACCAAGUCAGUGCUAUCAUUGCUACAGAGGCACUUACAGAACUGCACAUGGGAAAUGAAUCAGAUCAAAGGGCAGAGAGCAAAAAUUUAUUUUGCCCCUCUCUAUACAGAGACACAGGGUAGUCCACGUAAAAAAAUCAAAACCUUCUUUCGCUGUUCAAAAAUUUGCACCAGCCAGGUUGAGUGGUCAACAGUAUAACAAACCACAGCUGAUAUAUCAGUCAAUACAAAGUUUAAAAGAGUUCACAAAGGAAAAAAGCAAUUUUGACUCUUGACUUAAAGAAAUUCCUGGCAAAGGAAGAAACUAUGCUCAACUCCCGAAUAAUCAAACACCCAUCCACUGCAUGUGGAAAUUAUUCUGCCACCAUUUUACUAUUCCAGCAGAGGUGGUGCAUGGCCCUUUCGAAGCUUUGGCUCUUUUCAAAGGCUGUUAUUUUAAAUGUUUUAAUACUGGGAACUGCAUGGAGCUGGCAAUUACGGAAUUAGAGUGCAGAGUGGAGAAUGUCACUUUGAAAUCAUUUCACUCAGUUCAUUUCCUUUUCAAGCGCAAUAGAAAGCAGAUGGAGCAGGGAGGGCCAACGUGCCACAGAAGAACUCCCCAGGCCUUGGCCAGCACUCCCUUCCCCAGGUCUUACAGAAGGGUCACCAAAGCCCCAUGGAGUUAUUAUUCUUUAGGAAAAACACAUGCUAGAACUCAGCCAGGAUCUUUGGAGCAAGUCACUUCACUUCUAGGUUUGUGUUAAACAUCAAAUGUUAGACCUAAAUUGCUAGCAAGGUCAACAGGGACACGAAGUUCACACCAGAAGAGCAGUGCAGGGAAGCCAGAGAGAGGCCAGUGGAGCACAGCAAGAAGAUUAAGUGCUUUGCAAAAGAGAAGCCUUGAUAGAGAGAAAGAGGCCUCCAAAGAGUUGUCCAAUAUGAAGGAAAGGCUGUUACCAAAAGAAAUCUUUGCCAUAUGCAGCAAGAGUUGGACAAGGAAUUGUAAUCUCAACUUGCAGCAAAUAUACACUGAGGUCAGGAGAACAAAAAUAAAUGAAGUGCAAGGUGAGUGAAGCAUUGCAGCCUCAGUUUAUAGCUGAUGGUGCAUCACUGGAGGUGUCGGGGAAGAGUUACAGGAAUUUCUCCUAGGGACCAUCUAGUUAAGUGUGAUCUUGCCUCAGAAUAAGGGGAUGAAUUCCAGGGACGCUCUCCUGUGCGACAUCUCUUGGAUAAUUUAAUAAAUUCUGUUACAGCUUAUUUCUUGUGUUUCUUAUACAAGAAAGAGGGAUUCCCCAGACAAGAGUAAUGUACAACAAGAGAAACAGAUUCAACUGUUGGAGUUGCAGUAGGAUCUAACAGAGACACUGGAACUUAGGAAGUCCAAAUCCAUUCCCUGUUAGUGUAACCAGACAGAUAUUCCUCUCUCAGUGUCAGUAAUGUAGAGAGCCCAAGUCUCACUGGCCAGGGUUACUUGCACCAAAGAGCAACCAGAGUGAGCCUCAACCUCUGAAUCGCCCCAUGCGCAGCUCCAGUUUGACUCAUGCAUCAAGCUCAACUCCUGUUUGCUACACUUCAAUGGCAAGCAUAUUAAAGGUGGGCCAGGCUCUAAGCUUUCUGGUAUCCAUUGUCCAACAUAUAGGCAGCAGCAGCAUCACCACUGUUCCCACUUGUUUCACCUCUGCUGAGCAAGUUGCUCAUGCUCAUCCCUACAGACCUUGCUUCUGUCUCCCACCUAACAAAGGAUCUGCCUUCUUAAAAACAGUCUGUUUGGUCAAGGCAUUGUGUCAGACGGACAGACUUGUUCAGAUGGACCUCCAAAGCAUAGACAAGACUGAUGCCAAAGAUAAGGGCAGCUAUCCCAGGUUGAUGGAACCAACAUGGGACACAGUGUUCCCUCUGCUUUUUGUGUCAGUCUCUUCAUGUUCACUGGAGGUGAGGUCUGGAGACCAUUCUCUCCUGGAAGAGCUUGUUCUUUGUAUCUAGGAUCACCCUCAAUGGAGGCAACACUUCAUACAUCAGACCAACUUCAGAGUUUCCUGCAGUUCCCCUUCUAGAAACCUGUAGUGAAAGAGAAAACUUCUGCAAUUGCCUUAGAGGGAUUUACCACUCAAAGUUCUCACCAGUUGCUGACAACCCGUUCAAGGCUGGCUAUUACCGGUCAUGGGCAUGACUGUGAUAGAGGUCUGUGCGAUUUGCCAGCUGGUCUGCUCAUGCAAUAUGUCCACUGAAAAUACCAGAAGGCUGAUACAAGUGUUUGCCCAAUGUGCACUCUCCAGAUAUCCAAGCAAACUAAUGAAACUCCUUAGUAUCUUCCAGAAAUACCUCAAGCAAACAGAUUUCCACUCUUCCCAUUUCUGAGCCUUAAACAGAAGGCUCAGAGACAACCAGCAGCUGCACCAGACACCUGCGAAAGAGCAGCUAUUUGAAACACUGCUCUGUGGUAUGGGAGCUAGGGUUCUCUUCCUAUCUCAGAUAUUGGCAACAUAACACUUUUCGGCACGUGGGCAAACUCUACUUACAAUCUCCUACAGAGAUUCGGGCACUGUAUCAAUACAAGGAUGGGUCUGGCUGCCUGCGAGCUCUCAGCAGAGCAUGUGUUCGGCUAGUUGACCUCAACAUGACAAAUCUGGGGCGACAGGCUGGACAGGUCAUUGCGGCCUCUUGCAUAACCCGUUCCAGGCCACCAGUAAGCCACCCAUAAGCCAGGUCACCAAUAAAUCAUUCUGGCAGUGUCUGUCUUUCUCUUCUCUCCCCACACACCCCUCAGAGGCAGUGUCUCUUUCCAGCACCACUGCCAGUCACACAGCAUGUACAGAGGUUUCUUUCCACUUCUGUUCCAGCCACCGGGAGAUUCAGUCCCUCUCCAGACCAGGGAGGUAGCUCCAAGACUAUCAAGUAUACUUAUAUGUCUCCAGAUCCCUAAAUCAACACCAUGGCUAUUGCUCCCUCACUUCUUUUCUGCCUGCUCAUCUCCUUCUCUGAAGUGUAUCUCCAUGUUCUCCCUCUCUUUUUUUAACCAUUGCUACAAACAACUAUGCAGAAACCCUGGUGAUGGAGUCAGAAAGCUUCCAGGGUGGGCUUGGAUGGGAAUGGCUGGCAGAGGGAGAGAGUGGAAGGUGUCCCCCAGAGAGCUGGGGCUGCAAGGGUGUGAGCCAAGAGACCAGACUGCUGGACAGGGAGUAGAUGCAUUAGGCUAACACUGUCUCAGUCAAAUAAACUUCCUCUCUGCUUGUCAUGCUCACUUAUUCCCACCUCUCCUGCCUCUCCAAGGGAUGGAGCUCAUGUGAGAAAAUGUACUCUCUCAAACAUCACUUUAAGGAGCCACUGAGAGUAGUCUUUAUUGGAUGCAAGAAGUCAAACUAGGUAUUUCCUUCCUCACUGUGCCUCAGAAGAGGUUCCAGGAGACAACCCUGCUCUUGCACUUUGUUUUAAGAGAAUCAAUUGAUUCAAAAGGGAGUUUAAAAGCAACAUGGCAAAAGGACAUAUGACAUAAGCAGUCAGUAUAGUUUCACUCUCCCUCCACUGCCUCAUCAAAAUUAACAUGACCUUCAUGAUGAGGAGGAAUGGUGAAAAGGGUUAAAAAGAGGCAGGAAGGUGUUUGAACUCUAGGAGAAUUAUUAAAAAUCUUUAUUCCAACACAUUAGUAUUCAUUAAGAGGCACAGACAAUAAUUACAUGUUUUUUUCACUGAGUUAUUUAAACAUGAACAGAGUGCUUGGCAAAUUAACAUACAGAACAAUACUGCUCUGGUAGCUCAAAUGAUAAUGGGACCUAAUAGGAUUUCCCUAUCCCUAAUUCUGUUGAAUCCAAGUAAGGUUGGUUUGAAAAUUGUUAAUGUGCAGUAGGUGGCUUCCGAGAUAAUAAAAAGCAUGUCUGUUCUCUGUAAAACAAGCUCUGAGGAUGUGACAACACAUGAAAAAGUCCUUCAGCCAUGCCUCUGCUCAGCAUGGUUUGGGUAAGCUGAGGCUGCCCUAGUGGCAGAUUUGUCAUAUCUUGCUUCAUUUCCAUGUGCAUUCUGCUCCUGUGGCUUUCUUGGCAGCUCCCUCUCAGCUGGUACUGCACCCCAUUGCAUCCACACACACAAAGCAAGUUCCUGGGCUGAUGAACUUGGAGAGAACAGGCAUCGCUGUCAGGAGGCACUGGAAGAAAUGUCCCUGCCCGGGGCAGCUCAUGGGCUUGAUCUCAGCAGGCUGCACAGUGUUUGAGGCAGGCAUGCAGGGAGGAUGGAGAGGAAUGGGCAAGUGAAAAGUAAGUAAGAAGUAAGGAAAAAGCUCAGCCAGCAGAGACACAGCUCAGCUAAGUCUCCUGAAAAUUCCUCGGAAAAUUAGAAAAACAUCGAUUCACAGUACCAAAGGAACACACAUGCUGGCAGGGACAUGCACAUGUGAAGACAGGUGUAGCUGUGGAGAGGGCUCGAAUGUGUGAGUACAUUUGUCUGAACAGCAAUAACCUCCUAGUUCCAUUUUAAUGUCACAUCAAAAGUAAAGCAGGUGAUGGAAUACAUGGGUCUGUGUGUGGGAACCAGCACAACAGAAUGAAUCUGCACAGGCUCACUGCAACUCCUCACGUCCAAAGGAGGUAUUAGAUUGGACAGAGAUAGAUGCAAGUUUAGAAAUACAACAGACAGAAGCACUGAACAGUUUUCAGCAAAAUCCCCACUCAUGUAAAAUGCCAGCAUCCUGGACUAAAUACCUUUGUUAGAAGUGAUUGAAUCCCUAACAGCUGUGACAAAAUUACUUCACUUGUGGUCAUUGUUGGUGAAUAAGCAAAAUUAUCUUGCUAUUGUUGCUAUUUAUAGCAGCACCCAUAACACUAGCUGCUUUCCAAACAGAUUUCUCUCCAGUGAGCCUGCGACAACUGUUAUGUGCAUGUGGACAUAAUAUUAUUGUCUUCUGUAGUACAAGUUGCUCACUUGGCUCAAAAUUCACUUAGACUCACUCAGACUUCAAAGUUCAAAUAGCAUCAUGGUGGGUGAAACUGGAGUUAAACAACCCAAAGACUGUAACUGUAUAAGGGAUAUAAGAGCAAUUCCCUCACUACAAGCACCAUUUAUCCUCUGAACAAUAAGAUUUUUAAUGUUGAAAAGUAUGUUUGAUUUUAAAUUCAUACUUAAAUUCAUAAGAAAACACUGUGGUACUCUAUGUUUGAACUAACAAUUUUGUUUUGUUUUAUCACUGUUAAAAUUUUAUUGACAGUAAAAUCAUCAAAUACUUCUGGGAAUAAAAAGUAAUAAGUGAAAGCUUAGAGAUUUAGAGAAUAACAUUUCAGGAAUUUUGCCUCAAAUAACCAGGUCUUUUAUUUUUGUUGGUGCACUUGUAUGCAUGAGAAAAAACAGUGGUGUUCUGUCAAAUAAAAAGAAACAUCUUUCUCAUUAGGACUGUGUUUAUCACGCUUUCAAAUGUUCUACAAACCAAUGCCCCUAUUUGUCACUGUAAUUCAAUAUAAUAAAAGCUGUCAAAACUG